rnacentral:lncRNA from 1 species
UCUACCUUGUUAAGAGAGCACCGAGGAAGAGAGACAAGAAGGACACCGACAUAGAGAGCCAAUCGAGGGAGGCCGCGAACGUUCCAAGGAUGUUCACCUGCAAGGAGCUAGCAAAGGCCACUCGCAACUUCAGCAAGGAGAACCUGCUUGGCACCGGUGGUUUUGGAAGCGUUUACAAAGGGGUCAUCUCAGAUCCUCCGGUCGAAAUAGCCGUGAAAAAGAUAUCCGCAACCUCAAAACAAGGUUUAUUUCUUUACUUGUGUCAUGUCCUUUAGCACUCUUUUUUUGAACAUGGUCCCGUCGAUAAGAUCUAAACAUCACGGAAACAUAGUGCUGGAGCAAUUUUAUAAUUGAUGUGAAUAAAGUAGGAGAGAGAAAUUCCAUAUAUUUAUAAUGUAUCUAGAAAAAGUGUGCGUGGAGCUUAAUUAUAGGCUUGAAUAGACGGCAACCUAGGGAAAUCAGAUCGGAUAUGUAUAAUUAUAAUAAUUAAAGAAAAUACCUUAAAUAUCUCUAGAAAAUACCUAAAUAUCUCUAAUACUCCCCCCUCAAACUAGAGCAUAGAUAUUAAUCAGAUCCGGCUUGUUAUAAAUAUAUUCUAUCCUCUCAUGAUCCAGAGAUUUAGUAAAUAUGUUUGCAAGUCGUUCAACAAUCAUAAUGUGAUUUGGAAGGAUCACUCCACUCUAUAGCUUCUCUUGUAUAAAAUGACAGUCGACCCCAAUAUGUUGUGUUCUCUCAUGAAAUACAAGAUUUGAAGCUAUAUGUACUGCAGUCUUAUUAUCACAACACAGAGGCAUAGGAACUAAAGUUUUAAAGCCUAAUUUAGUCAAUGGCUGCUAAAUCCACUCUAAGUCACAUGUUACUUGUGUCAUGACUCUAUAUUUUGACUCAACACUUGAGCAGACAACAACACUCUAUUGCAACAAUACUCUAUUUCUUACUCUUUCAUGGUACUAGAUUUCCUCUAGCCAAGGUACAAUAGCUAGUAGUCAAACUCCUCUUAUUUGAGACCUUGUCCAAUCAGUGUCAGAGAAUCCUUCAACUCUACUAUGGCCAUAAUUUAGGUAAACAAUUUCUUUCCUUAGAACCUUUUUCAAGUACCUCAAAAUCCGAAUAAUUGCAUCCCAAUGAAAUGUACAAUGAGAAGACAAAAAUUAGCUUACCACACUAAUUGGAAAUGCAAUGUUUGGUUGAGCAACUAUGAGAUAGUUUAGCUUGCCUACCAGUUUUUAAUAUCUCUCAGGAUUAUCAUGAAUCUCUCCUCCCUCAGCAACUGGAUUAUCUCAUUUUUCCAUUGGUGAAUCAAGAUACUUUGAUCCCAACAUGCCUGUCUCAGUGAGUAAAUUCUGGAUAAACUUUCGUUGUAAUAGAACAAUACCUUUUUGUGACCGUGUCACCUCAAUUUCUAGGAAAUACUUCAACUUGCCCAAAUCCUUAGUAUGAAAUUAUUGCUGAAAAUAGAGCUUUAGUUCAACUAUAUUGACCAAGUCAUCUCUCGUGACAAUAAUGUCAUCAACAUACACAAUUAAAAACAACUUGCCUCCCCCUAACUGUUUAUAAAAGGAGUGAUCAUUUCCACAUCUAGACAUUCCAAAAGAGAGGACAACUUUAGAAAAUCUUCCAAAUCACACGUAUGGGGAUUGCUUCAAACCAUACAACUUUUUAAACUUGCAAACAAUCAUCUAGACUUCCCUUAAGCAACAACUCCAAGAGGUUGCUCAAUAUACAUUUUUUCAUUUGCAAGAAAGCAUUCUUGGCAUCAAGCUGCAAUAAUGGCCGUUAUAAGUGGCUACUAGAGAGAUCAAAAUACCAACAAAUGUGAACUUGACAACAUGAGAAAAAGUGUAUAAGGAGUCAACUCUAUAUACCUGAGCAUACCCUUUUGCAAUAAGUCUUUUUUUUAAGCAAGCAAGAGGGUCAUCGGGAAUGACUUUGAUAGCAUACACCCAUUGACAACCAAUAGCAAUUUUGCCUGAAGGAAGAGGUACCAAGUCUCAAGCUUGAUUAACUUGUGAGGCCUUUAAUUCUUCUUUCAUAACUACUCUCCAGCCAGAGUUAUGUAAUGCCUUGGCUGCAAACUUGAGGUAGAAUAUUGUUCAACAAUAGAUAAAAAUGAUCGAAAGAAAGGAGACAUAGAAGAGUAUGAACUAAAGUCUACAAUGGAAUGUUGAGUACAAGCACGAUACCUUUGGGAUGAACAAUAUGGGUAGGCUAAUGACGGAUCUGGAGUUGAAGAUGACCUAGUAGUGGUUGUAGGAAGGGGGGAGCAGUAUCUACUCAAGGAUGUCGAGUAUAGACCUUGAGAGAAGUUGGUUCUUGUGCAAAUAUUAGGGAAAUAUGUGGAUCAAUUGACCAAAUGGUGAUCACAUGUAAAUAUUUCAUCCACCUUAUAAAUAGUAACUGGAACAUCAUGAUAUACAAUAGAUUCAAAGAAAGAAACAUUGGUAGUUAUAAAGUAAUUUUGCAAUGAUGGAGAAUAACAAUGGUAUCCUUUUUAAGUACGAGAAUAACAUAGAAAUGUAUACUUGAUGGCCCUAUGAUCAAAUUUUGGUACUCCAGGUUAAUGACCACGAAAAGAACAAACACAAUAAAAAAUACAAGGUGGUAAGAAAAAUAAUGAUUGAUUGAGAAACAAACAAGAAAAUGGAAUACCACAUUGUAAAAUCAAACAGAGACAUAAAGCCCAGCAUCUCUCUCUCCUUUAUAUAUAUAGAUAAAUGAAUACCACCUUGUAAAACAAAAGAAGACAUGUGAUUAACGAGAUAGCAAGCAAUUAGGACAACAUAUAAAAAAAAAAAAAAGGUUUUGGGGACCUUCAUCUUAGAUAACAUGGACGUGGUGACUUCCAAUAGUGCCUAUUCUUCUUUUUAGCUACAUCAUUUUAUUGUGGUGUAUUGAAAUAGGAAAAUUCAUGGAUCAAACCAUGUUGAGUCAUAAAAUUAGAAAAGGUGCAGAAAAGUGAUCUUAGCAUUAUCAAAACACACAAUUUUAACAUGCACACCAGAGUGAGUGAAUUUUAGAAUUGAAAGCACAAAAUAUAGAAAACAAUUUUGAAUGACUUUACAUUAGAUAUAGCCAAGGGACUCUGGAAUAGUCAUCGAUAAAAGUAACAAAGUAUAUAAAACCAACAAAAUAUCUAAAUGAAUUAACGAAAAAGGAGGUGUCGCUCGCUUAAUGACUUAAGGCAAGUAAUUAAUACGAUGCAAUUUGCCAAGUUGACAUGACUCGCACUCUAAACUAGAAAGAGAUUGAAAACUAGAAUCUAAAUUUUGAAGAUUGUGAAACUAAGGAUGGCCAAGACGACAAUGGAUUUGAUGUAAGGAAGCAACACUAGAGCAUGGAAUAGAUGGAUCAUUUUCAAGCACGUAGAGCCCCCUACCUCACAUCCUCUAUUGAUCAUCAUCUUUGUAGCCAAAUCUUAGCAAAUAUAAGAAUCAAAGUAGAAUGUCACUGAACACUGAAAGUUUUUGGUUAAUAUACCAACAAACAUAAGGUUAAAUGGAAAUUGUGGGAGAUAAAUCAUCGAGAAUAAUGGCAAUGAAGAAGUUGGAUGAACUGCAUCAACCCUACUAACAUGUGUAGAUGAACCAUUAGCUAAGGUAAUAGUGGAUGAUGAUGGAGUAAGAGACUAAAAAAAAAAAAAAAAUACUUGAAAGACUUGACAAAGGACGAGAUAUAGCUAAAAGGCAUGCGGUAGCAUUACCUAUUUGUACCCAAAUAGUAGUGAAAGAAUUAGGCCAUGAGAUCUGAAACUAGCUUAUAUUGAACAAAUUCCUUAUCAAACAGAACCACUACGUUGCCUUUAGAAAACUGUGGCAAAGAAGAAGAGUUAGUACUAGAUGUAGCAUUUGCAAAAUGUUGUUGCUAUCCUAGUUUCCCAAGUAACUUGUAACAAGAUUUUCAAAUGCGGCUAGGUUUGCCACAUUAAUGAUAUGUCCAAACGGCCCCUAAGCUAUUAGUGAAAUUAUGGGACUAUCCAUAAAGCCAUUCUUGGCCUUGGCCUCUUCCUAUUCCUAUGCCUUGGCCACCACCAUGGCCACCACGACCAUUAUGUUGUCCAUGAGUUCCCCUUUCAUUCCCAUUACCACUACUGGUUCAAGACUAGGACACGAGCUUACUAUCUACCACAAACAUGGUGUCCUUGAAAAGACUCACGAGAUACCCAAAAAACUUAGGCAAAUGUAUCUAUGAGUGAGCGAUGGUCUCUCUCCUAGGAAUUAGAGAUAUGAUAGUUUCAUUGUUCGGACUGAAACCUCCUUCGAAUUCCAAUACAACCAAUUAUUCUCUCUGAAGAUGCUUUUGGUGAACAUUGGCUAAAAUUGAGAUAAGAUGAUUCAACUCCUAUACGCCCUCUUAAAAUUAGCAAAAUAUUGUGUAAUGGAACACCCCUUCCUAUUAGAUCAGUAAAACUCUUGUGAUAGCUCAUAAAUCCGCGAAAGGUUAUUUUGGCCAGAGUACAAUAUAGCCAAAUACUCCCACAAUUCUCUAAUUAUGUCAAUGUGAGUUAUGAGAUCAACUAUAUUACUCUUUAUGGUGUUCAACAUUUGACCAAGAAUAUGUGAACCAACUACAUUCCAAGUUGCAUCAAUACUAGGUUUAGGCUUAGUCAAGUGUAUAGGUUGAUUUCCGCCUAUUAAAGUUAGCUUCACAAUUUUCUUCUAUUGUUGAAAGUUGGCACUAUCCUCAAGCUUUUUAUUGGUAAUUCGAUUAGAAGUAGAGGAAAUCGCCUCAAUCAUCACAAUGUUACUCUUCUCAAAAUCACCGAUUCUUUAAUAAAAAUAAGAAAACUACUACAAUAUUUUCCUUCAAGCAACUCAACUUCAAUAGUUCAAUAAUUCAACACAAUUGAAAAAUAUCAUCAAUGGACCAUCAACAAUGAUGUCACAACACUAACAACCAAUUGAACCAACAAUGCAUACAUAUUAAUAGAGUACUUGUAGCCUUUGAAGGUUCUUUAGGUGGAAAGUUCAUGCACCCAUGGUCAUUCCAACUGACCAAUCAUAGAGAACAAGAGCAACAAAGGCCAAAUUAGAUAACCCUACCAAAUUUUGUAUAAAUCUCACAGAGUUGAUCAUUGCAAAAUCAGUUCUUGCAACCCAAUUUCCUUGAAUUUGCCCUUGAGAUUCCAAACAUCUCCACCUCCAGAGACCACACUGAUUAACUUCACCAAACUACGCAACAACUCACUACUCACUCACCCAUUGCACUGCAUAACGAAACAUCUCAAUCAGUGCAAGCUAAAACUACCAUAAAAUUCAAAUGUAAUCCAAUAUAGCUUGACCAUUGGACAAAAGGCAUGAUUUAGGGGCCUUGGAAGACUUCGAAAAAAUAGCAAAUAGAGGGAAACACCAUAUUGACCUCAGCGAAGCGAGAGUUAAGCCUAAGAACCUAUACUCGAGUGGCGAAAAGCUGAAGAGACGGAGUAGGCGACAUUUGACGAUGCCAAAUCUGACCUAAGUUGGAUGGCGACGUAAGAUCUAAGCUAGCGAAUUUUUCUGUUUUUAAUAAGAAUUUCCGCAAUGCGUGACGACUCUAAUAUCAUGUGAAUAAAGUGGGAGAGAGAAAUUUUGUUUAAUUUCAAUGUAUCUAGAAAAGAGUAUAUGGAGCUUAUUCAUGGGCUUGAAUACAUGACAAUUUAGGGAAAUCGAAUUGAAUAUGCAUAAUCAAAAUAACCAAAGGAAAUAUUUUAAAUAUCUCUAGAAAAUACCUAAAUAUAUCUAACGACCGCCAUAACUGUGAAGAUCCUUUGUGAAAAAGUUCUCAAGUAUUUGUUAAUUAACCUUAGGCAAUUUUUCAACCUCAAAUUCAACAGGUGAAAGACAGUAUUUAGCAGAGAUAUGCACGAUUGGGAGGAUGAGGCACAAGAACAUAGUGCAACUCCAAGGUUGGUGCCAUGAGGGGGAACAACUUUUGCUAGUCUACCAAUACAUGGCCAACGGUAGCCUUGACCGCUUUAUUGGCAAGCAGUCCCUCAGCUGGGAGACCCGAUAUGAGAUCCUGAUUGGCGUGGCCUCGGCACUACUCUACCUCCACGAAGAAUGUGGGAACCCUGUGGUCCACCGAGACGUCAAGCCCAACAACGUCAUGCUAGAUGCCAACUACAAUGCUUACUUGGGUGACUUUGGGCUCGCGAGGCUGAUCCAGAGCGACGCCUCAGCGACAACCAUGCUCGCGGGCACCCCCGGGUACCUAGCCCCAGAGGUGGCAUACUUAGGGAAGGCCACGCCAGAGUCGGACGUGUACAGCUUUGGGAUGGUGGUCUUGGAGGUGGUGUGCGGGAAGAGGUCAAAGGGGAUCACAGAAGAGGACAACUUGGUGGAUUAUGUAUGGAGUCUCUAUGGUGAAGGCUUGAUCCUGGAGUGUGUGGAUGAGCAAAUGGAAGGCCAAUUUGACAAGGAGCAAGUGGAGAGGGCACUAAUAGUGGCCCUUGCUUGCUUGCACCCCUACUCUGCGUGCAGGCCGAGGAUGCGAAAGGUGGUCCAGAUUUUCCUGAACCCGGACGAGUCGCUGAUGGAGUUGCCCAAGUCUCGGCCCAACAUGGCCUUUGUGCCGGUCUCAUUCUCAGGCUUGACCACCGUCGGCUACUCCUCCACCUACAAGACCAAUUCCACCUUCACUCACUCACAGCUCAGUUCACCCCCAGAGAUAGAACUCAAUCAUGAACAAGGGAUGCCAGGAUUGCGUUAAUGGUCUCGAGAAUUAAAGAUCAUAUUAGAAUAUUUCACGUGAUUCAUAUCUGAGUUAUACAAGAAUAAGUUUUACUUUGUAUUAUGUUAUGAUGUAGUGCAGAAUGGAUACUCUUUGAAGCUAGCUAUACUGUAUUUACAUACCUCUAUGAAUGUUACGUUCUUAUGUAAAAUUGAGUUGAAGUGUUUCAAGUCAUGCCACCUCAUUGCAGGAGUUACAUGGAGCCAUCGAAGAAGAAGACCCACUUAAAUUAGGAACAAUUUACAUAUGUCGAUUCAUAUAUUUAUGAAUUUCAAGACUCACGACUCAGUUUACCACCAGAGAUAGAGCUCAAUCAUGACUAGGGGAUGUCGGGGUUGCGUUAAUGGUCUUGAGAAUUAAAGAACGUAUCAGAAAAUUUCACGUGAUUCAUAUCCGAGUCAUACGGAAAUGAGUUUUACUUAGUAUUAUGCUAUGAUGUAGCGCAAAAUGGAUGUUAUUUGAAGCCUGUGUUGUAUAUACAUUCCUCUGUGAAUAUUAUGUUCUUAUAUGAAAUCAAGCUAGAGUGGUCCAAGUCAUGCUUGCCGCCUCAUUGCAGGAGUUACAUGGAGCAUAUGAAGAAGAAGGCCCACUUAAAUCAAGAAUGAUUUACAUAUGUUGAUUUGUAUAUUUAUGAAUUUUAAGGUCAAAUUAAUCCAAUGAAAGAAAAAAUAAUGUGUAAAAUGAAAGAGAAGUAUUUCACUCGCUCAUGGCAUAGUUCACCAUAGGAGAUAGAACUCGAUCAUGAACAGGGGAUGUUAGGAUUGCGUUAAUGGUCUUGGAAAUUAAAGAUCAUAUCGGAAAAUUCCAUGCGAUUCACAUCUAAGUCAUAUAGGAAUGAGUAUUACUCUAUAUUAUGCUACGAUGUGAUGCAAAAUGGAUACUCUUUAAAGCUAGCUGUGCUGUAUUUACAUUCCUCUGUGAAUAUUACAUUCUUAUGUGAAAUCAAGCUAGAUAGGUUCAAGUCAUAACGUCUCAUUGCAAGAGUUAAAUGAAGCAUAUGAAGAAGAAGACCCACUUAAAUCAAGAAUGAUUUACAUAUGUCGAUUAGUAUAUUUAUGAAUUUCAAGGCUCAAAUUAAUCUAAUGAAAGAAAAAUAAUGUGUAAAAUGAAAGAGAAGCAUUUUUAGCGAGAGAGAGAGAGCUUGGUUUUGUAGCUACAGGGAAGUUACAUAUGUCGAUUCGUAUGUUUAUGUAUUUCCAGGCUCAAAUUAAUCUAAUGAAAGAAAAAUAAUGUGUAAAAUGAAAUAGAAGCGUUUUUGGUGAGAGAGAGAGCUUGGCUUUGCAGUUAUAGGGCAGUUACAUAUGUCGAUUCGUAUAUUUAUGAAUUUCAAGGCUCAAAUUAAUCUAAUGAAAGAAAAAUAAUGUGUAAAAUGAAAGAGAAGCGUUUCUGGCGAGAGAGAGAGAGAGAGCUUGGUUUUGUAGCUACAGGGAAGUCCCACAAAAAAAAUAGAAGGCAAAUUGACGUGCGUUUGCCAGGAGUCGAAAUCUUUGCUUUCAACAGUCGCUGCACAAAGGCCUAUAUUAUCAUUCUACCAAUUUUUGGCAUGCAAGGAAUAAGACCAACUCCUCUUGGGGAUGGAAAAGUUUACUGUUAGGUCGAGAUACAAUUCUUCCUUUGGAGAUGGUCAGCAAAUAAAUAUUCGAGAUGAUAAAUGGCUUACCUCAGGCAUAAUAGGUGGACCAGCCCCUCGAGCAGAAUCUAAACUGGUUGCUGGUUUCAUAAUCCCUCCUGCUCAGGUUUGGAAUAUCUCUCUUCUCCAACAGCACUUUGACCAGCAUAUAGUUGAGGAGAUACUUACUAUCCCAUUAAGUCGUGCUCCUUCAGCUGAUCAUCUUAUCUGGACAGGAACACAAUCAGGUCAGUAUUAAGUUAAAUUGGCCUACAACUUCCUCAGACAAUUAGCCUACCCUUCGAACCCCGAUCUUCCCUCAUCCUCUUAUCAGCCAUCAGCCCAUCUCUGGCGAUCUAUCUGGCAUCUCAACACCCCUCCUAGGAUUAAAGUUUUUAUUUGGUCAUUGUGUCAUAAUGCUCUCCCUACCAAAUUUAAUCUCUUUCGAAGACACAUCUUACCAGACCCUCUCUGUCAACUCUGUUCUAUGCACACCCCUGAAACUACCGAACACAUUCUGUUAUUUUGCCCAUGGACAUCAAAGAUUUGGUCUCAUCAAAGAGUACAACUUUCUCAUUCAGCCUACAAUAGAAAUCGAAUGGAUGCGUGGCUUGAGGAAGUUUUUGAAAGUUAGGCAGGUUUACCUUCCAAAGAGAUCGUUGCUUCCAUCCUCUGGCAUAUAUGGAAGGCGCGCAAUCAUUUUAUUUUUCGGCAGCAGCGAACAGCUCCUGAUCAACUUGUAGAUAUGGCCCUCGCAGACACAACGCUAUACCGAAACUCACUGCAGCAAUCGGCCAUUCCGGACUCUGCUAUGCUCAACCCUAAUCCGCUUUGGACUCCACCGGACCAAGGCAGUUUUAAGGCGAAUAUUGAUGGGGCUUUUAACCACGAUACCCACACUGGUGCAAUCGCAUGUGUCCUCAGGGAUUACACUGGUAUUUUGAUCGGCGGAUGCAGCAGUUCUGUUCGUGCGUCUUCAGCCCUGCAAUGCGAAGCUCAAGCCUUAAUUUCCACUCUCACUUAUUUGCUAGAAUAGGGUAAGGAAGAAGAUCAUCUCAUCAUCGAAUCUGACUGCCUAACCCUUGUGGAAACCCUCAAUGAUCGCUGUUCGUCACCAUGGGAGAUUCGAGCUUUUGUUGCAGAUGCUUCUCUGCUGCGUCUCUCCUUUCCUCGCUUGCGGAUUCAACACUACCAAAGGGAAGCUAAUGCUGCAGCUGAUUGGGCCGCUAAGGCCCAAGCACGCAAUUCUCUCUCACUUUCUUGGCCCAACUUUCCUCCUGCACCGUUAACGACUUUGCUAUGUAUUGACGCCCUAUCUGCGGGUUGUAAUUUUCGUCCUCCUUGAAUACUAAUAUCAUCGUUUCUGUCAAAAAAAAAAAAAAAACAGUCGCUGCACGGCUAACGAACCAUUGGGUGGAUUAGGCUUGAGCAUCGUGGUUGAGAUAAAAGCAGCAGCAAACAUAUAAUGAAUGCAGGUGAGCAUAUAGGGCCACACCUGUGCCAACUGACAUCACAUGAAUGGGUUGGUCCGUCUUCACCCAAUCAAGAACAAGUUGAAAAGCCGAGAUUCUUAGGUUAGCCUCGGGUACUCCACAUUGGAUUGCCGGUGACAAGCGGUGAACACUUUUUUCGCGACCGCAUAAGUAGUUCGCCAACUCUACAUUUAAGUAAGGUAGGAGGGCUUAUUCAGUGGACGGGCCUUGGCCUGCGCCUAACCCUGUUGUGGAGUGUGAGUUUUGACUCCAAGGAUCAAAUGUAGCACACCCAAUCCUAAAUCAUAUAAUGAACUUUACGCAUCACCGACGUUUAGGAGAAAUAGAUAUACUUCAUAUCCCGAAUGGUAUUAAAGUUGAUGUUUGGGCCAUACUAUCUCACAUCCCUUUUUACUUGAAAACACACCUUUUGGGGUCUUUUUAUAAAUAUAUUCGUGUUGUUUACUUUGACCUUUUUGGUAGAAAUAGAACCAUAACAUCUAUAUAAACAAAAGUACAUGAAGAAAGAGCUCUCCAAGCAAGGUUGUCGGCAAUGCUACUGCUGUAAAAAUGGAGAGGGCUAGAAUUAUAGACUUAGUUCGCAGAAUUAUUAAAAAGAAUGUUGUUAGGUGAUUGGACAUUACUAAGUAAACCAUUCUUAUUAAUAUCUUUAGCCAGCGGUGCGCUAUAUGCAAUUUGAUUAAUUAGAUAGUGAUGUGGUACUUCUAUUCAUAUAUUAAUAGUCACAUAAGCAAAGGUAGUAAGGACGAUUAAAGUCUAAAAAGUGCGUGAUUGCGAGCAGCUAGUCAAAUAAUAAUUGGAAUUAUUAACUUAUGUAAAAAAAAGAAGAAGAUAAAAAGUAGAAAUGCACAAAAUGAUAAUUGAGAUGAACUAUAUAAUACUAUAUUAAAAAGCAAAAAUACUGCAUACCCUCCUUAUUUUUCAUUCUAUUACCACUUUUCUCUCCUUUAGUUUUAAAAAUACAUUCUGCAUCUUAAGACAAACCAGAUUAUCUAAAGAACCAUAUUACCAUCCCUUAUAGAGAAAAAAAAAAAUCCCUCUUAGGGGUGAGCAUAUAGAAUAACCCGAAUUGGAAUCGUUUGAACCGAACCAAUCCAGCCAAUUUUGGGCAGUUCUAGAGGGCGUUGAUUCAGUUCUUGAUUCCAUAAAAUUGAAAUUGGUGAUCUUCAAUCUGGUUCUCGGUUCCAAGGAGAGAACCGGAUUGACGACACAGGACCAAUUUAAAUAUAUUUUUUCAUUUUUUAAAAAGUAAAGUGUAAACCCAAACUCUAAUACCCUCUCACACCUAGCUUAUUCCAAAUGAUGAAGUAAAUCUUUGUUUCUUUCAUACUAUUGCAUUGGUUCAUCCAAGUUGCUCCUUUUGUUUCUUGCUUCUUUCUUUGUUUUACCUUUUCUUCUUUUCCUACAAAUAUUCACCGAUUUUACCUCCCUUGCUUACUUGUACUUCAUGAGUCCAUCAUUUAUAAAAAAAAGAAUCCACCGAAUCCUCCUUCUUUUUUCAAGCACGCCCCCAUAAGCAUGGCCCCAUCAUCUCUCAAUAUUCUUCGCAAAUUUUGGAUGAAAUCCCAAAUUUGAAUUGUGACAUGGCUUGGGAAUUCAAUUAAUUAAAAACUUUUGACCAAGAUAUGGAAUCCAUCGAUUCUAUUGGAUUGCUUGAGAAAGAAAUUGGUUUGGUCUAGUCCCAAGACCAAUCAUCCGCUUCUCGAUUCCUAGUUCCUGAAUAAAGCUGAAUCAGAUCACGAACCGAUCAUCCCUAAUUCCCCUAACUCUAUGAUGCAAACUUGCAUUUCAAGAGACUAUUAAUACAAAGUGAUAAUGACUUGAAAAGUAGCACAAUAUUUGUUAUUUUUCUUAAAGAUAAGGCUAUGUUUGACAAUUAGGAUAAAAUUCAUAAUAGGAUAAUAUCAUAUCUCACGUUUGGUGUUGCUUAGGAUGAGAUAAAGUCGGAUAUAAGAAACAUAUAGCCCUAAUAAAAUUAUCAUAUGGGGAGGUAGGAUAAAGAUGGAUAAGAUUUUUAAUAUUUGUGAUAGGAAAUUAUUUUUCUCGAAUAAUUUUUUUUAAAUUAAUAAAAUUAAAAAUAUAUGUAAAUAUAAAUAAUAUUUGAAUUCUAAUAUACAAAAUUCAAAAUAACAAAAAAUAAAAAAAUAUUUUUAAAAUUUAAUCUUAUUAUUAUUUAUAAAUUCGAAUUUAAUUUUUUUUCUUAUAAUAUAAAUCCAAUGUUAGAUAUAACUUUAGGUAUUUUAGUAUUUUAGAUAUAUUAGUAUAAUUUACUAUUCAAUAAGAUUUUAUUAGAGAAUGAUGGAAGGGGAAAAAGAAAUAUAAAUGAAAGUAAUUUUAAAAAAAAAAGAUAGGAAAAAUUACAAAAAGCAAAUAAAAAUAAAGUAGGUAAAAAUUUCACAAGAGAUUUUUACUAUCUCCAUUUGUGAACUUUUACAUUCAUUUACACUAAUAUGCUAUUUAUAUAAAAAAUAUAUGAUAUAAUAUGAAUAUAUUCAACUUUAUUAUUGCAAUUUACCAAAUAAUGGACAGGAUAUCGCAAAAUCCCCAAAUUUCAUGCCUUAACCUAUCAAGUCUAAUUUUGGUUAUAAAUCUAGACAAUCAAAUAUAGCCUAAGUACAUUGAAAGUUCUUGUUAAGAAAGUACAAUCGAGUUUUAAAACUUUCAAAAAGUGCAAUUAAGUUCUAAAACUUAUCAACUAAGUGUAAUCUAAGUCUUUCAUUAACUUCAUCCAACAUGAUUAACGAAAAAGAUUAGCGUGACCUUUUUUUUUUUAUAAUUAUUUUCUCUCUCACACAUAGCAUUGAUGUGGCUAAAAUAUGAAACAUAAAACUAAGACGACCCAUUGGCUUAGAUCCAACGACCAUCACUAGUCAUUGCAGACCCUUUCGAUGAUAGUGAGGUAGUCGCUUGGUUUUUGUUUAUAUAUAUAUAUAUAUUUUUUUUGUGUUCAUUUUUUAAAAUAAAAAAAGAUUUGAAGCAAAAUGACAUUGUUACGUUUCAUGUUUUAGCUAUGUCAACAUCAUGUGAGAGAGAAAAUAUGAAAAAUAAAUAAAUCACCUCACCGUUUUUUGAUAGUCAAAUUGGAUGGAAUGAAUAAAAUGACUUGAUUGCAUUUUUUUUAUUAAAAAAAAAAAUUUAAGUGAACUUAUCUCUAUUUAUCAUUAAGAAAGUCUGUAUCUUAUUGGACUACUUCAAAAACCGCAAACUACUAAGAACUGGCGCUCAAAGAUUCAUUAUAUUUCUUUAGAACUUUCAAUUGACAGUUCUAGAGGAGAGAGUUAUGAUCAAGUAAACAACUAAUAUGCUGUAAAGAUGGCUCGCAAGAAAGGAGAUGAAAAGUACUUGCCCCACGCUGAAGAGGUCAAUUGCACAAUGCAAUGAAACAAUUCAUUUUCAAACGUGCAAGGACGCCCACGCAUUAUGCUUUGAAUAGGAGAAGAGAAGAACCACAUUGUGUUCUUUUGGGCUCAUAUGCAUUACCCGCAUCCAAUUAAAUCAAAAGGCCUUCUUAGCUUGUCAUUGAAUAGAUUUCUGUCCCUAUAUCUCCAUGUUUUCGCGAGACAAGAGACUGCAUCUCCUUCCAAUCAUUGGUAGUCAAUUCUUCGGGGCAAGAAAGAAACAAACCCUAAAAUCCGAAUACAGCCAAGAACAAGAAUUCACUUCUUUCCCAUCCCGCCAAUCCACAGCCCUCGUAACUUCGACUGGAUCCCCAUCUCGAAUUCAUGUCACGACCCAAGAAAACAAAUUAGGAAGCAAACCUGCGAACCGUUCUAUAUAUGCGCCAACAAUGCCUCUGUUAGAUGUAUGCCCUAAAGCUGUUAUGUAAUAGUUAAAUAGUUACAUAUUAGGGAUUUCAAUUAUACAUAUAAAAUUAUGUUCUUUUUAUUUUUAAAAAGAGAAUUGAUUAAUUAAUUAAUUAUUCAUUUACUUAAUUAAUUAAUUAAUUAACUAAUUAAAAAAUUAAAUUAAAGCUUCAUGCAUGUGCACGAAUUCGUGCACAUGCACGAAGCGUAAUGGUUAGCGGUUGCUGACCAUUAUGCACGAAGCAUGGAUGGUCAGCAACCGCUGACCAUCAUGCCAAGAUCGUGCAUGAGCAGUUGCUCAUGCACGAUCGUCUGCUAUGGACGAUCAGCAACGGUUGCUGAUCGAUGGACGAUCAGCAACCGUUGCUGGUCGGUUUUAUUAUAAAAGCAAUUGAGGGACGAGAGUUAAAGUGCUGCUGAAAAAUAAAAAGGAGACUUCAAGUGUUUUGUCUUCUUGUUCCGGAUCAGCUCUUCACCAUGAACAAAAAUUUGAAGUUCUGCUAGUUGCUGAAUAUUGAGUAAAAGUGUGCGUGUUCUUGUGUCUACGAGACACGAGGAAGAAAAACAAUUCUCUCGUUCGGGCCGUGACUAUUAUACAUCAAGAAUACAACGGAUUGUUUCCACGUGAUUGCUAGCAAGAUCGAAGUGGUGAAUAUCCGAAAGUUCUCUCUUCUGUUCGACGUUCGUUGUUGGUGUGUCUGAACUAGAGGUCCGACACUUGUGGGACUCGAACUGUGGAACAUCCAAACCGACUCGUUUCAAAGCGCGCUUCGAGAGGUAUUUCAUUUAACUCCCUUUUAUGUUUAGAUUUUUGAUUAAAACGCACGAACAACGCCUUAGGAGAAUCAUGUGUAAUAUAUAUCUUUAUUUCCGCUGCGUUCAUUUCGUUAAUUUCUCUUAUACAUGAUUCUUGAAACCCCAACAGUGGUAUCAGAGCCAACCUUAGGCAUUUUUCGUGCGUUUAAUUGAUUUGUAGUUCAAAUAUAUUUUUGCGUUCUAAUGGCCAAUUUAUUUUUGUUAAGAGAAUUGGUUCUCUUACUCUUAUGUGGCCUAUAGAAGUUGAUUAAUUUAUGUGAUAAAUUUAAUCAACUAAGCAAAAAUUAGAACUAAAUCAAUUUUGAAUAAAAAAUCCAUAACUUGUUAUAUUUUGUGUUUAUAUUCUACAAAUGAUAUGCAGAAUUUUAUGCAUGCCUUCCAGAGCUUUAAAUUUUGAAUUUAUGGCUCGUAAGGAAGGGUGGUGAUCAUGGAAAAAUCCCUAAUUGUUGUAUGGAUGAAUGUAUGAUGAUUACAUGUAUUCUUUUUGGGGAUGUAAUUAUUAAAUGGAGGCUACGUCCUUCCUUUUAUAUUUAUUUUUAUGAAAUGUAAUUUUAGUAUAGUUUAGUAUUUCAAUUAUUGAUGUAAAUACUACAAGAGAGGAGGAGCCAUUGGAGGAGCCAUUAAACUGGUGAGCUCUCUGGGCCCGGUCUUUGAAGAGUUCAAAGAUUGAAGAAAAAGUGAAGAGCAGGUCCAUAUUAUUAAAACAUUAAAAUGGCUAAAUGGGUCUCUUUGGCUCGAGACCCAUUGAACCAUAAUUCCAUGAUCACCACAUAGGAUAGAUGUUUAUGUGAUAUCUAUUUAUUUAUUGUGUUUAUGGUAUCGUGCAUGUUAAACCGGUUAAUGUGCAAAGUGAGACCGUUAAUAACGACCAAAAUCUCCUUACAAAGAAUAUUAAGUCGAAACGGGUUUCAAACUCGUGGCCUUCCAUCGUCGUGGUUUGAUCCAAUAUUAUAGUGGUUAACUAACUGGUUAUAGAUACAUAGGGGUUAAUUACCAUUUAUAAUAUUGGACCACUCUAUUAUGCAUAUGAUGCUGUGGGGUUGGAGCCAAAUGAUUUCUAAUAACUGUCAGGUGAGGGAAUCAUUUGUGUUUUCAAUAGUUGCAUGAGACGAUGGGCUAGAUUUAACUAUGAUCAUGAUGCCAAUAACUGUUAGGUGAGGCUUUCAUGGUCUAGAGGCCGAAGUUAUGAUUGGACUCGCAUAUGAUGCGUUGAACAAGCUGGUUCACUCACUAAGUUCAUAGGACACCAAUAACUGUUAGGUGAGGUGAACUUUGGGCUAGUGGGACUCUAAUCCCCACCAGUAAUCUUUACCCAACAAAGAUUACCGCUUCCCAUCUUAAGGAGUAUGGGAUUCGAAUAUAAAUUUAGUGGGAGGAUCUAUUUCAUUUAAAGGCCAAAAUGAAAUAGUUGCUUUGAAAGAUACAACGGCUAACAAUUUAUUUUCUGCAACAGAUAUAUUAUUACUCUGAAAAUGGUGACCACAAACCUACUCGCUUCUAUACUUGACAAGAAUUGUUUGACUGGACCCGAUUUCAUUGACUGGGUGAGGAAUUUGAGAAUUGUUCUCAAUUCAGAAAAAAAUUGGGUAUGUGCUUGAUGAAAAGAGGCCAACCUCCUUUCCUGAGGGUGGGACCCAAGAGGAGCCUGUCACUUAUGAUAAGUGGCGUGAUGAUGACUUAAAAGUUAGGUCAUAUAUGCUUGCUUCUAUGAAUAAUGAAUUACAGAAGAAGUAUGAAUCUAUGGAAGAUGCUGGGUCAAUCAUUUUGCACUUAAAUGAAUACUUUGAUGAGAAUGGUCGAACCUCUAGAUAUGAGAUAUCUAAGGCAUUGCACCGUAUGAGGAUGGCUGAAGGAUCAUCUGUUAAUGAUCAUGCUUUGAAAAUGAUUUGGCACAUUGAAGAAUUGGCUAGGCUGAAUCUCGUUAUGGACAAUGAAUUAGCUGUGGAUUUGAUCCUCCAAUCUUUACCUGAUUCCUUCUCUGGUUUUGUCCAAAACUUCCACAUGCAUAAGAUGGAGAAAACUCUUGCUGAGUUACAUAGCAUGCUGGUAGUUUAUGAGAAUGAAAUGUAUAACACGAGGCCAAAUGUAGUGGCUAUGGCUAAGGCUUCUUCUUCAAAGGGUAAGACUAUUUUAAAGAAGAAUAAAUGGAAGAGGCCUGCCAAACCUGUUGUGCAACCAAAACCCAUCAUUGAUAAAUGGAAAUGUCAUUACUGUGGUGUCAAAGGGCACUGGAGGAAGAACUGUNNNNNNNNNNNNNNNNNNNNNNNNNNNNNNNNNNNNNNNNNNNNNNNNNNNNNNNNNNNNNNNNNNNNNNNNNNNNNNNNNNNNNNNNNNNNNNNNNNNNGAGCACCUUCGUUUUCCCAAGAACCAACCUUAUGAAGAUAUGGUGUCUAUACUUAUUGAAACCAAUCUUAUGGUUAGUGCUGAAUCCAGCUCAUGGAUUCUAGAUUCUGCUACAACUUCACAUAUUUGUAUGUCUUUGCAGAAUCUGGAAAUAAGCAGGAUGCUAGGGCGAAAUGAGAUUGUCCUGACGUUUGCCAAUGGAGCAAGAGUUGCUGCAUUAGCUAUAGGGACUUUUCAUUUAUGUUUGCCUUUUGGACAUGUAAUGUUUUUAAAGAACUGUUUGCAUUAUAAGAAUGCUGUUAGGAACAUCAUCUCUAUACCUCGUUUGGGUAAAGAGAAUUAUGAAUUUUCUUUUGCUGAUGAUGUAUGUUCUAUUUAUCAUAAUAGAAUAUGUGUUGGUUCUAGCUUAUUAACCAACAAUCUUUAUACCAUUACAAUGUCCGGUAAUGCGAUUACCAAUGUCAAUAAGCAAAAUAGAAUUGAUAUAAAUGCCAUAACUAAUAAACGCCCUAGAGACGGUCCAAAUAAAAAAUAUGUUUGGCAUCUCCAAUUAGGUCAUAUUGGAGAAGAUAGAAUUAACAAAUUGAGUAAUGAUGGAUACAUUGAUCCUUCAAAUUUUGAGUCAUACUCAACUUGUGAGGCUUGUCUUCUAGGAAAAAUGACCAAAGCGCCUUUUGUGGGACAAAGUGCGCGAGCUGUUAACUUAUUAGAAUUAAUACAUACAGAUGUAUGUGGACCAAUUAAUGAAACUGCUAGAGGUGGUUAUAAUUACUUCAUUACCUUCACCGAUGAUCAGUCACGGUAUGGUUAUUUAUAUCUCAUGAAGUAUAAAUCUGAAUCCUUUGAAAAGUUCAAGGAAUUCAAGGCUGAAGUUGAGAAACAAACAGGAAAAUGUAUUAAGGCUCUUCGAUUAGAUCGAGGAGGUGAAUACCUUAGUACUGAAUUCCUGGACUUUCUUAAAGAGAAUGACAUUUUAUCAUAAUGGACACCUCCUGGAACUUCAGAAUAUAAUAGUGUAUCUGAACGAAGAAAUCGUACUUUAUUAGAUAUGGUACGAUCUAUGAUGAGUUACACCGAUUUGCCAAUAUCCCUUUGGGGAUAUGCCCUUGAGACAACUGUAUAUAUACUGAAUAGAGUGCCGUCCAAAUCUGUUCCAACUAUGCCCUAUGAGAUAUGGCAUAGUAGGAAACCUAGUCUUAGUCAUAUUAAGAUUUGGGGUUGUCCAGCUUUUGUGAAAAAGCUGAAAAUGGAAAAAUUGGAGGCAAGAUCUGAACAAGGUCGCUUCAUUGGAUAUCCAAAUGAAACUCUUGGAUAUUAUUUCUAUUUUCAUUCAGACCAAAGAAUUUUGGUAUGCAAGCACGCUUCUUUUUUGGAGAAUCAGUUCAUCCAAGAAAGUGGUGCUGGGCGGAAAAUAGUCUUACAAGAAGAAAAUAAUGAAGUAUCAAACAACCGAGUUCAGAUACCAAUCUCUGAUUCAGUGGGAGCUUCUGAUACACAACCUCUUAGGAGAAGUGCGAGAAUGUCUCGUUCACCUGCUCGUUAUAGACACUCGGUUGAUCAUAUUGAACCAUUAUUCAUUGUGAAUGAUAGUGAUCAACCCGGUGAUCCUAAAACAUAUGAGGAGGCGAUGUUGGACAUCGAUUCUGGUAAAUGGCUAGAAGCCAUGAAAUCCGAAAUGGAUUCAAUGUAUUCCAAUGAGGUAUGGACCUUGACUGACCUGCCUGAUAGUAUUGUACCAAUUGGCUGUAAAUGGAUCUUCAAGAGGAAGAUGAAUGUUGAAGGUCAAAUUGGAAUUUACAAAGCACAGCUGAUGAUGAAAGGAUAUCAUCAAAAAGAAGGAAUUGAUUAUGACGAAACUUUCUCACCUGUGGCCAUGCUAAAAUCCAUUCGGAUUAUGUUGGCUAUAGCUGCACACCUUGAUUAUGAGAUAUUCCAGAUGGAUGUCAAAACGGCUUUUUUAAAUGGUUUUCUCGAUGAGGACAUCUAUAUGGAACAGCCACAGGGUUUUGAAUCAAAUAGUGAAAAACAGAAGGUGUGUAAGCUUAAGAGAUCCAUUUAUGGACUCAAACAAGCCUCCAGAAGUUGGAACAUCCGUUUUGAUGAGGUAGUCAAAUCGUUUGGCUUUAUAAAAAAUCCGGAUGAACCUUGUGUAUAUAAGAAGAUCAGUGGGAGUGCAAUUGCAUUUCUGGUUUUGUAUGUCGAUGAUAUACUUUUGAUUGGAAAUGAUGUACCAAUGAUAUCAUCGAUAAAACUAUUCUUGUCACGGAAAUUCUCCAUGAAAGAUUUAGGAGAGGCAACCUACAUUUUAGGUAUCAAGAUCUAUAGAGAUAGAUCAAGACGAUUGAUUGGCCUCUCACAAUCUACGUACAUAGACAAAGUGUUAACACGGUUUAACAUACAAUGUUCCAAGAGAGGAUUAUUGCCUUUUAGGUAAGGGAUCUGUCUUUCUAAGGAGAUGUGUCCCAACACUCCUGAAGAAAGAGAGCGGAUGGCAAAGAUACCAUAUGCAUCCGCUAUUGGAAGCAUAAUGUAUGCUAUGCUAUGUACUAGACCUGAUAUUGCGCAUGCUGUAAGUAUUACUAGCAGAUAUCAGUCUGAUCCAGGAGAAGAGCAUUGGAUAGCAGUCAAGAAUAUUCUUAAGUACUUGCGAAGGACUAAAGAUUUAUUCUUGAUAUAUGGAGAAGGAGAAUUUAAAAUUGUAGCUUAUACUGAUUCUGAUUUUCAAUCGGAUCCUAAUGAUUAUAAGUCUACAUCUGGGUUUGUCUUUACAUUCAAUGGUGGUGCAGUUAGUUAAAAAAGUUCCAAACAAAGUAUAACUGCCGAUUCUACCACUGAGGCAGAGUAUGUAGCUGCUUCUGAAGUAGCAAAGGAAGCCGCUUGGAUGAAGAAGUUUAUUACUGAACUUGGAGUCGUUCCUUUAAUUGAGCAACCGAUCACAUUGUUUUGUGACAACAAUGGGGCGAUAGCUCAAGCUAAGGAACCAAGGUCUCACCAAAAGUCCAAGCACAUCGAGAGACGCUUCCAUCUCAUCAGAGAAAUUGUUGGGAGAGGUGAUAUCGCCUUGCAGAAAAUUGCCUCAGCAGAAAACGUGGCAGAUCCCUUCACUAAGGCCUUAAGGUCUUCUUUUGAAAGACAUAUUGACAAAAUGGGUUUGAGGUACCAGACAAGUUGGCUUUAGUGCAAGUGGAAGAUUGUUGGAUGUAUGCCCUAAAGCUACUAUGUAAUGGUUACAUAUUGGGGAUUUCAGUUGUACUUUCAUUAUUAUUAUUUAAUUAAUGACAAUGACAUAUUCAUUCAUUUGUCCAAUUAUUUUAUAUUGAUAAAUGAUUCCAUAAGAUCAGUUGCAACUAGACUUAUUCUUGAGACGUCAAGAAUAUAUGUGACUGGUUCAUAGUUAGACUGAAUCUUUAAAUUGUUCCCGGUCGAUGGAUUAUUGAGUGGAUAUUAAUAAUCCUGUUGAGGCCGGUGUGUUCUUAACUUCGUCAUUAAGUAUUGGAUACUUAAGGGAAUGAUGAGUUACAUGUCAUUGGGUAUUAUGAUGCCUGAGUUAGAACACAGGUGUUUGUAUUAGACAAAUUCACUGAACGUGACGCAUAUGGAACGAUUAGCGACAUGGAAGCUUUUAGCGUGGUCAAUGUCUAAUUGUUCAUGCUUUGGUCUUGUGUAAAUAAUCCUUAGACCUGAGGCACAGUGUUAACUUGUGUAUUGAACAACUAUGGUUCACAGGUGCACAUAAUGCCGGGUCAUUGAUCCGUCUUUAUACCUGAUGGUCAUAAUUUGUUCAUAUAUGAAGUUACACGUGUGCGCAAUAUGAAAUCUGUCUCCUUGUUAUAUGCAAGGUAUGAUAAUGAUGUCCUAUGCAAUCUAAUUGUGACAAUGCAUUGAAAUCCUCGGCCGGGGUUGUAACUGAGAAUAAAUUGUUUAUGUCUCGAAUAAAAUGCAUGUCAAUUAGAUUUGUGCAUAUGAUCGAAUUAAUGACUUGACAAAUAUUUCAUGGUCUUUGUUUGAUCAGGACAUAGUAAGACAGAGAGAUUGAAUUACACUGUAGCCAAAGCUGACAGGUUCAUUAUGUUCUUAAAGUAUUCACACUAUCUGGGUAGCCAUGACAUAUUGCUAGAUGUCAAUCGUGACUUGUAGGAUCUAAAAGAUUAACCGGGACAAUUAAUUCUUUUGGAAGUACUGAUGUGUUAGUACAAGUCUUACUACCAGCUUAGUGAUGAACCUAGGGAUGUCACACACCAUAAACAAUUAGGAUGACGUGGAACAAGAGAGAAAUAUUAUUGCAAAUGUGUUUGCAAUUACUGCAAUCGAAUUGAGUUGAUUUGAAAUUAAAUUAAAUGAGAUUUAAUUUAAUUUGUAUUAUAGUCACGAGCCUACUUGCAUAUGAUGCACACGCAUGCCCAAAGUGGAUAUAUGUUAACAUACCAAACAAGUUGGCUUUAGUGCAAGUGGGAGAUUGUUAGAUGUAUGCCCUAAAGCUGUUAUGUAAUAGUUAAAUAGUUACAUAUUAGGGAUUUCAAUUGUACAUAUAAAAUUAUGUUCUUUUUAUUUUUAAAAAGAGAAUUGAUUAAUUAAUUAAUUAUUCAUUUAAUUAAUUAAUUAUUCAUUUACUUAUUUAAUUAAUUAAUUAACUAAUUAAAAAAAUAAAUUAAAGCUUCAUGCAUGUGCACGAAUUCGUGCACAUGCACGAAGCGUAAUGGUCAGCGGUUGUUGACCAUUAUGCACGAAGCAUGGAUGGUCAGCAACCGCUGACCAUCAUGCCAAGAUCGUGCAUGAGCAACCGCUCAUGCACGAUCGUCUGCUAUGGACGAUCAACAACGGUUGUUGAUCGUCCAUUGAUGAGCAACUGUUGCUGGUCGGUUUUAUUAUAAAAGCAAUUGAGGGACGAGAGUUAAAGUGCUGCUGAAAAAUAAAAAGGAGACUUCAAGUGUUUUGUCUUCUUGUUCCGGAUCAGCUCUUCACCAUGAACAAAAAUUUGAAGUUCUGCUAGUUGUUGAAUAUUGAGUAAAAGUGUGCGUGUUCUUGUGUCUUCGAGACACGAGGAAGAAAAACAAUUCUCUCGUUCGGGCCGUGACUAUUAUACAUCAAGAAUACAACGGAUUGUUUUCACGUGAUUGCUAGCAAGAUUGAAGUAGUGAAUAUCCGAAAGUUCUCUCUUCUGUUCGACGUUCGUUAUUGGUGUGUCUGAACUAGAGGUCCGACACUUGUGGGACUCGAACUGUGGAACAUCCAAACCGACUCGUUUCAAAGCGCGCUUCGAGAGGUAUUUCGUUUAACUCCCUUUUAUGUUUAGAUUUUUGAUUAAAAUGCACGAACAACGCCUUCCGCUGCGUUCAUUUCGUUAAUUUCUCUUAUACAUGAUUCUUGAAACCCCAACAGCCUCAUCUGUUUUGCAGGGUCUCUCGCGUACAAGCCAUGUUCUUGCUUCUGAUCCUGGUCUCAGUCUUCCUCGGUUCUCAGGAAGCUUAUUCUUCAACUUCUUCUAGCCUUGAGCCUACAAACUACUUUUUCCCUUCUUUUGACCCCAGCUCUUGCACCUGCAAGGAGCUCAUUUGCAUGGGUUCGGCGAGCUUGCGAGAAAGGUAUUUGAACAUCACACUAGAGCUGGAGGAGCAGGGUAAUUCGAGCCUUGUGCCCAUGUCGACGAACUAGGUAGGGCGGGCUCUUUAUUCCUGGCCGGUCGUGGCUUGGCCUGCCAUGAUCUCUACCACAUUUGCUGUCAGGAUCACCACAUUGCCGAAUUCCAUAGCCUUUGGCAACGGGAUGGCUUUUCUUUUUGCACAGGAUAAUAGCUCCUCACCACCGGAUAGUUACGGCUCAUAUAUCUGGAUUCUUGAUCGGUCCACUCAAGGUACCUCCACCUAAUCCUUUGUUAGAUGAAUAUGAAAUCUGUGGUACUUUGCCGGAGUGUUGAUUGAAAGACAAUCUCUCUUCGAUUGAAUAUAUAUAGGUGGCGUUGUCCGACAACUGGCCGUGGAGCUGGAUACUUUCAUGAACGAGUUUGAUCCCGAUGGGAACCACGUAGGCAGACACGACAAGUGUUAUUAAUUUAGUCUAUGCUGAGAGCCUAAAUAGCACAGGAGUAAACCUAAAAAGUGGAAGGGACAUUAGAGUCAAAAUUGACUAUUAUGGCUAUAAAUAUAAUCUCAGUGACAUAUUCUGGGAAUUCGCUAGUAAGUGUUCUCAAUCAUUCGAUCAAAAUGUCGUAAACGGUCCCAGUCUUGUGUAUGUGGGCUUUUUGGGAUCUACUGGGCCUCUACCCGAAAGCCAUCAGGUCAUUAAUUGGGUAUUCAUCUCUUUUCCUUUAUCUAUGGAGGAGCGGCUCAAGAGAGACAACAGAUCAAAACUGCACUGAUUCUGGUCGUGCCAAGCGUGAUGACAGUAUUGUUGAUCGCGAUAUUCGUCUACCUACUCGUUGAGAAAGCGCCCAGGAAGAGAAACAAGAAGGACGCUGACAUAGAGAGCCAAUGGAGGUAGGUUGUGAACGUUUCAAAGAUGUUCACCUGCAAUGAGGUAGCGAAGGCCACUCACCUGCUUGGUACUGGUGGUUUUGGAAGCCUUUACAAAGGAUUGAUAUCAGAUCCUCCGGUCAAAGUAGCCGUGAAAAAGAUCUCGACAACAUCAAAAUUGGGUCUGCUUCCGUACUUGUAUCACAUCCUUUUAGCACAUUUUCUUGAACAUGGUCCUGUCGAUAAGAUCUAAACAUUACGGAAGCAUAGUGCUGGAGCGAUUCUGUAUUUCGCUUUUGUUCAUAUUCAUCACUAAUCACCACAACUGCGAAGAUCCUUUGCAAAGUUGUUCUCAAUUUCACUAUCUGCCAAUUAACUUUAAGGCAAUUUUUCAACCUCAAAUUCAACAAGUGAAAGACUAUUUGGCAGAGAUAUCCACCGUUGGAAUGAUGAGGCACAAGAACAUAGUACAGCUCCAAGGUUGGUGCCAUGAGGGGGAACGACUUCUACUAGUCUAUCAAUACAUGGCCAACAGUAACCUUGACUGCUUUAUUGGCAAGUAGUCCCUCGGCUAGGAGACCCGAUACGAGAUCCUGACUGGCCUGGCGUCGGCAUUGCUUUGCCUCCACAAAGAAUGCAGGAACCCCAUGGUCCACAAAGACGUCAAGCCCAACAACGUCAUGCUGGACUCCAACUACAAUGCCUACUUGAGUGACUUUCCUCCGGAAUGACGCCUUAGUCAUGACCAUUCUUGCGGGCACCCCCGGGUACCUGGUCUCGGAGGUGGCAUACACAGGGAAGGCCACGUUGGAGUCGGACGUGUAGAGCUUCGGGAUGGUGGUCCUGGAGGUGGUGUGCGGGAGGAGGUCAAAGGGAAUCUUGUGAGAGAACAGCUUGGUGGAUAAUGUGUGGCGUCUCUAUGAAGGGCUCACUCUUGGAGUGCGUGGAUGGGAAAAUGGGAGGCCAAUUUGAGGAGGAGCAAGUGAAGAGGGCAUUGAUAGUAGGUCUUGCUUGCCUACACCUGAACUCUGUUUAGGCCAAGAAUGCAAAAGGUGGUCCAGAUUUUCUUGAACCCGAACAAGCCACUGAUGGAGUUGCCUGAGUCCCGACCCAGAGGGGUCUAUGUGCCGGUCUCAUUCUUGGGCUUGACCACCGCCACCUUCUCCUCCAGGACCAGGUUCGCCUUCCAUCCCUCAUAGCUCGAUUCGCUGCAUGAGAUUGAACUUGAGCAUGAAUUGGGGACAUCGGGAUUGUGAUGAUGCCAUCGAGAACUAGAGACUAAAUUGGAAAAUUUCAAGCAGUUCAUGCCUGAAUUGUACGGGAUUGAGUUUUCUUUUUGAGUACUUAUUAUGUUACACAUGUUGUGCAGAAUGAAUAUUCUUAUAAAGCUAGGUGUGUUUACGUUCCUCUGUGAAAAUUACAUCCUUACAUGAGUUGUGUUUCAAGGGGAAGGCGUUGCGAGAAUCCAGGCGGGGUUACCCGAGAAACCCUGUAUAGGGUUUCCCUUGUGGCCGGGCCCCUCGUGGGGGUUCCAUUUUUAUGGAGGGGGAAUCCUCUCUCUAUCCUGUCUUUCCAAGAUGUCAAAACCUUUUAAGAUCUCGCUUAGAACCGGAAAACAUCCUUACAUGAACUAGGGAAACAAUAGACGUACAUAUUUUGACCAAAAUGAAAUUGAGCUUCAGUAUUUCAAGUCAUGAUGCCUCAUGGUGGGAAUUACGUGGAGCACACAAAGAAGAAGACCCGUUUGAAUUAGGAACAAUUUAAUAUGUCGAUUCACAUUUUUUUUUUAAAAUCAAGGCUCAAAUUAAUCUAGUGAAAGAAAAUGAUUAACACCACGAAACACCCUAAACUCAUAUACAUAUGAAAAAUUUACAUAAAAUAAUUCUUUAAUCACAAAAAAUCCUUAACUUAUUGAAAACGUGGGAAGCAGCGUGUAAAUGUGACGAAGCAGGAAACCACCCUUAGUCCAUCCUCUCCAUUUUCAAGGGCCCUUGCUAGUUCCCGAUUUUCAGGUACUAAAAAGAUUUAAAAAAAGCUAAUUGGAAAAAAGAAAAAAAGAAAAGAAGACCCUAGAGAUGGCCAUAAAAAGUCAAUUAUUUUUUAUUCUUUAUUGUAAUUUCAACUUUUUCAAAUCACGAACAAUUUCUAUUGCUGGGAUUGUCUUUGUACAUUUACAAGGCUGUUCUCGUGGAAAUUUCAAAUACUAGGCAAAUUACAAUGGCCUUUAGUUAAUUUUGCUCUGUUGAUUUCACGAAAAAUAUAGCGCUUCUAGAAGUUUUUCAUGAAAUAUUUCUUUUAGAAAAAUGACAAUGUUUUCCGGUAUUUAACUAAAAUCUGAAAAUGAAAUGGAAAAUAUUUUCCAUUAUUCAAUAAAGAAAAUUUUUUCCUUCAUUUAUUCUUUUUUCAAUAAUUUUAUUUUAUUUUUUAAAUCAAUUUUUACAUUUAUUUAUUUUUUUACAUUUUUUUCUUCUUCUUCCUCGGCCACGACAACUAACCAUAGGCUAGCUCGAGUCUUACUAUAGGCUGGCAAAGUUCCUUGCCCUAGGCCAGCAAGCUCUAGCCUCAUUAGAUCCAAUGAGAUAGGCGAGGCUUGAGCCUUGCUAACUCGUUGGAUCUAGCAAGGCCCAAGCUCGCUUGAGGUUGUCGGGCUCACUUGGGUGAGGUGAGGCUUGACUUUGCUGGAAUCUAGCAAGCUUGAGCCUCAUCGGCUUGUGGCGAGGUUUAAGCUUGCUUGUGGUUGGUUGUUGGUCGUCGUCGCUUGCGACCAACCAUGGUGGGUGACAAGUCGAAGAAGAAGGAAAAAAGAAAAAAAAAGAAUUAAAAAGAAUUAAAAAAUCAUUUAAAAAAAAGGAAAAGGUGUUGGGUGAAAGAAAAAAAAAAUACUAGGUUUAGAAGUAAAAGAAUGAGAAUGGAAAAUGUUUUACACUUUCUAAAAAGUGAAAAACAUUUUCCCAUAUUUUAGAAAAAAUUUGUUGAUGGAAAAUGUUUACCAGUUUAUAUUCCGUUCAACAAAUGCUGAAAAAUCCUAAUUUUUUUUUUCAAAAGGUUAUUUUUUUAUGAAAUAAAUGAAGUCUUAAUUAGACCAUUUUAGACUUGACUGGAGUGAAAGGCAACAUGGGUUGACUUGGACAAGCGAAAAUGUUCUCGGGCUUUAUUUGACCCACUUUGGCCUGCCCAAGCUUGAUCAAAUUUAUGUGAAAAAGAUUAUGCUUUCUGUAUAGAGCGAUUUUAGGCUUGGCUUACCCAUUUAUAAAAUCCUUUCAAUUUGCAAAGGUAAUAUUGCUCAUUAUAGAAAAGGAGAGUGCCAAGAUAUGUAAUAUGAGUUUAUUGAUUUUAUCUAACGUGUAAUAUUAUGAGUUCCAAAAAUCAUUUUUAAUUGUUUUAUUGAUUAAUCAAAUUUUGAGAACUACAAAAUUUAAAAAGUUAAAAUAAAACAGGUUUUAGGGAAUAUCACAGCACCUACCGAAAUAGAGGAAUGGGUGGAAACAAAAAAAUAGAGGAAUGGGAGAACAGUUAAUCUAGAAACUGGAUUUGCUUUCUAGAGAUCACGAAUUUGACAGCGGGCGGGAGCGAGCGUGGAGUCAUUGACGAGCGUGGUCAUAAUUGGCAGAGCAGAGUCAAGUCAUAUCUCUUUUCACACGAUAACAACCACCACCCUUUGUAAAAGCCCUAAGGUCAAACCCCUCUUUUUAUUUUAUUUUUAUUUGGCAAAUAUUUAUUUUUGUUUUGUUUUAGGUCUAUUAUAGAUGAAUUAUAAAAUAUUGCAUUUACAGGGCUUCCUAAAACAUACCAACCAACCUAAAUGGAAAAAUUUAAAAAGUUACAAGGAGUUAGAAGAAGACUUAUCCAUUUCCUCACGAGCUCCGUGAACCAUACGCAUGUGAGUCUGAUAUUCUAUAAUUGACGAUAGGUUGUGCAUGACCGAACUUAUCAUGACUGUUGAUUAGUUGAAGCUAUCAAUCCAGAUUUAGGCAAGAAUUUCUCCCCAAAUGGACCCACUGAGAUUAAAAUCGACGCCACUUUGGGCUCACGAGGCAUUUUUGUUUCUAAGAUUUUUUUUUUCGAAAUCAUUCACUUUUGGCGAAAUAAACGCAUCCUUAGAAUUUAUUUAUUUCUCAAAAAUUAAAUAAUUCAGAUUUUUUUUUUCUAAAUUUGAUCAUUUUUAUCACUUGAUAAAAUCAUUCAAUGAAAAAUACUUUUAUUAUUGACACAAUUUAUGUCCGAAGAUUGUUGUGAAUGAUGAAAAUAUUAUUUCAUAUAUUUUUAUAAGUGAUACGGAAAAUUAUUUUUUAGAAAAAUAUUUCUUUGGAUUAUUAUUUUCGUUAAAUAAAUGGAGUCUUAGCUCUCAAAUUCCUAUGAUUUUGUUGACUUUUUUUUAUUGAUGUAUUGAUCCAGCGAAAAUGUGGGCGGGCGAUGGCGAUUGCCACUUUGGGUGGGUGCCCGUUAGACCUGUUAAAUGGGUGGGUCAAGUCAUAAAUGGUCCGACUCAAAUUGACCAAUUUAACUCGUUUAUGACCAAUUUAUUACAAUGCAAAAUUUUUGACCCAUACCCGACCCGACCUAUACUCGACUCAUACCCAACACAAAUUUAAUGAACAAUUUUUAUAAUUUUAAAAAUAAUUAUGUUAAUCGAAUAUUAAUUAUUUUUUAUUUUUUAAAAUUUAAAAUUAUAUUAAUUAAUUAUUUUUUAAAAUUUAAAAUUUUAAUUAUUUUAAUUUUUUAAGAAUAUAAUUUAAGAAUAUAAUUUAAUUUUUUUUUCUUUUUUUUUUUUUCUUCUUCUUCUUUGGCCGGCUGCCAACCAUGACAACAAUUGGCGAUCGGCCACAGGCGAGCCUUGAGCUCGCCUGACGUUGGCAAGCUCGAGUCUUGCCAGACGUUGGCAAGCUUGAGUCUCGCCGGACGUUGGCAAGGCCUCCGCCUUGCUAGAUUCGGUGAGCUCGAGCUCACCCCUCGUUGGAUCUGGUGAGGCUCGAGCCUCGCCUGAUGCCAGCGAGUUCAAGUCUUGCUAGAUCUGGCAAGCUUGAGCUCGCCUGACCUUGACGAGUUCAAGUCUCGCCAGAUCGGUGAGGCCUCCGCCUUGCCAGAUUCGGUAAUUUAAAAUUUUAAUUAUUUUAAUUUUUUAAGAAUAUAAUUUAAAUUUUUUUUUCUUUUUUUUUUUCUUCUUCUUCUUUGGCCGGCUGCCAACCAUGACAACAAUUGGCGAUCGGCCACAGGCGAGCCUUGAGCUCGCCUGACGUUGGCAAGCUCGAGUCUUGCCAGACGUUGGCAAGCUUGAGUCUCGCCGGACGUUGGCAAGGCCUCCGCCUUGCUAGAUUCGGUGAGCUCGAGCUCACCCCUCGUUGGAUCUGGUGAGGCUCGAGCCUCGCCUGAUGCCAGCGAGUUCAAGUCUUGCUAGAUCUGGCAAGCUUGAGCUCGCCUGACCUUGACAAGUUCAAGUCUCGCCAGAUCGGUGAGGCCUCCGCCUUGCCAGAUUCGGUGAGCUCGAGGCUUGUUGGCCAUUGUCAUACAGCCACCAGAAGGUGGAGGAAGAAAGAAAAAGGAAAAAAAGAAAAAAAGAAAAGAAAAUUAAAAUUAAAAUAAUUAUAAAUUUGAUUUUUACAAAAAAAUAUUUUUUAAAGUUAAAGAGAGAAGAGAGAGAUUGUGAGGUUUUGGUUAAAAGUGAGUUCUAAAUCCAACUCAUUUAAGAUCCGCUUAAAACCUGCUUUUCUUAAGUCUUUGAUCGUUAAACCUAUUUAACUACUUUUUCUCAAAAACUAAGUGACCCAUAUAUGACCAAUUUAUGAUUUAAAUGGGUCAUAUAUGGGUCUAAGACUCAUUUUUCCACCUCUAGGGCCCGUGUAUCAACGUCAUUGGCGUUCAUUGUGGGACCGGCCAUGGAAUUAGGUUUGCGUAUUCAACUCAACUGAAAAUGGUGCGAGGAUCAAGACAUGGGAGAUUGGUCGGUAUAAAUUAAUUUUCAGAAACUAAUAACAAAAUUAGGCAAAAGAAAAUAUACUUCUAGCCAAAUUCAUGUUUGCAUUAACAUAUUUUAUAGUGAAUUCAUCAUCUUUAUUUUAUUGCAUGUAGAGUGGAUCUAGUUAUGUUAGCGGUAUCGAUUUUCAAUAGUAUUACUAUUUCCUAUGCUCAUAACCUGAUAAUGAUCGACCAAAACUAUUGUGAUGAUCAAAAUUAGUGCUGCAAGGUGAAAAACGACAUUCCUAGUUAAUGCUUGCAUGACUUGUUAGGGAUCUUUUACACUGCUAAUGUGUGCUCAUAUGGCUGCAAUCAUAAAUCUAUGUAUAAAAUGCAUUGAAGCAGUAGAGGUAAAUAACGUGACGUUUUGAAAUGUGAGAGAGACUUCGGGGAAUGAGCCAUCAAUCACAAUGCAUUGCGCUGGAGGGGAUGGGUUGCAUGGACAUCGUGAUGAAAAACAUCAAACCCGAUUCUUUGGAACCCGAGAAGAGGAGCCGCCGAUUGCAAGAAUGUUGUCAAUGCUAGUUUCACUUCCAUUGAUCCUCCCAUUUCUUGCCACAGUUCGUAAGGUUAAUCGUCGUAGCCACAACACCCAUGCAAUAAGUUGACCGAGGUAGUUUUCUUUUCUCGACCAAAGAUCAAGAUAGAUCAUAUCAUUAGUUUAAUCACACUUACAUACGUCUAGUGGUCAAGAUAAUUUGUGCAAGUUUUGUAAUUCAUGGGAGGGCCCAAAGGGUGUUAGAAUUGAUGUUCGGGUGAAAUUAUUUUCAUGCCCCUUUUUAUUUUAAAUUGCAUCCUUUUGAGUCCUUUUUAUAAGUACAUUCAUUUUGUCGCCUUCUACUUUUUUGGUGAAAAUAGAACCAUAACAUCAACAUUAAUGCAAGUACGUAAAGAAAGAGCUCUCCAAACAAGGUUGUCGGCAAUGCUAUCGUUGUUAAAAUGGAUAGUAUGGAUAGUAUUGACACAUGAAUUUUUUUGAUGGGUGGCCUGAAUUUUUUUUUUUUGUGACCCAGGGAACCCACCGCACGGCCAGCAGUCGGGGAGUAAACCCUGGGGAGGCACGCAAGAAACCACCACCCAUGCACCCCGGGCAAGAUAUCACGCAGCGCUUCAGCCUCCCUGCUUCGCAGGGGCUUCGAAACUGGGACCUCCAGCGUGGAGUCCAGCAACCCUACCAUCCACGCUGCAACGAUGGGUGGUUGGCCUGAAAUUUUUUUGUUAGUUAUGAAAGAUUACAAAGACUCAGGUCAACUCAACUUGACUCGGGAUUGACCCGGACCGAUAGGACCUUGAUCCGAUCCGGCAAUUAAAAAAGUGCCCCUCUCUCUUUGGCCAAAAUUCCCAUACCACAUGGACUCACGUUCCCAUCAGUCAAAGUUCUCACUAUUCACAAUGGUUGCUUGGGCGUCUAUUUCUUUUGGUCAAGUGGCGCAAGGUUGGAAAACCGUAGAGAAGACAAAGGCGUCUCUUUCACACUCGAUUGUCUUCUUGCGUUCGCUGUGGGGGCAGUUGGAAAAACGGAGCUGCCUUUGGAAUUAAAGAACUUCCACGUUCGAAAGGAGAAAAGGACAGCGUCAAGGAAAAUAGGUCUUAUUUUAUUCCAAUAAAUCUUAGAAGGAGAAGGAGAGCACGGUUUUCCCUAGGCGAAGAUUCCCUAUCCUUAUCUUGGUCGCUCUCCAUUAGCCAGCAGUAACCAGCAGUCCGCCUUUACCGGCCACUGACGAGCCUCCUUCUUAAGAGAGACCAAGAACAGAGAGCAUGGACUGAGGAGAAUUGCGGCCUUUUUCGGGCGUCCAGAAGUCGCUCCCUCGAGGAUUCUCUCCGAGCCAUUUCUUUCCUUUUCUUUGCCCAACCUCGCCAUCGCAGAUAGCCGUGUCAUCAUUGUUGGUCCAGCAAGCGCAGUAAACCCUGUUUUGCCCCUGUUUUUCGGCUGUCAAGAUCCGAAGCAACUCGUACGUGUUUGAAGCCUCAUCGCCGGCGUGCACUCUCAUCGGCAAUACUUUUCAAACUUGUAAACUUAACCAGCAUCCUCAACCGACAACUCCUCCUUGGCGAGGUAAUGUUGAACCCUCUGCCUUUCUCUGUCACGAGUGGAACGCCGAGACUCGGUUUCUUCCGUUCAUGCUCGUGUCGGAUCUGAAUAGGUUGGUUGUGUUGAUUUUCGAACAUUUCUGAGAGACUUCUUUCGAGCCUGGAUGGGAGUUCAAGUCUUGAAACGGUUGAGUACUUUUUUCCUGAAAUCCACGUUCAUUACCUGUCUCACGAAAUGCCUAUAGGAGUGUCGGGUAACGUUUUUUAUUUUUGCAAAAAAUUUUGUUUAAAAAAAUAUAUAUUUUAUUUCUACUCUCGAAAAUAAAUAUAUAAAUGUUUUUACUUCUUUGUUUCAAAUUUAUAAUAUUUUUUAUUCCGAAAAAUAAAAUAAAAAAUUGAUUGAUGUUAUCAAAUUUAUUUGUGUUAUGAAGAACAAAAAAAAUAGAAAAACAUGAUGUUACCAAAUAUGUCCUAACAAUCCAGUGCAAGUUACUUUCCUUUUUUGUCUAACUUGAGAGCAUAUUGCCCGGAAUUAAGUCACCUUAAUUGUUUUUGAAAGUCUUUCCAAUGAUUGAAUGCGUAUUUUUUUUUUUCUCAAUCAUUCGUUUUUCUCGUGUUUUAUGCUCCCGAGGUCACCGACGGCGAUCGUCGGUGAGUUGAUGAUGUUGUAUCCAUGGAUGAGUGUUUGACCAUCAUGUGCAUCUAAAAUGGUUUUGCUUACAACGUACCUUUAUAUGCUUUGUCAUGACCAUUUCGUUUAUGUGUGAACGGGGUUGAUGAUAGACGUGGGUAUUGAUGGCUGGCGAUCUGAGGGGAGACUAAGCAAUAAAUUUGGUGGUGGUUCCGUGGUGAGCAAAGGCGAUGCUUGGUUUAAAGCUUUGGAGGUGUAAAUCAUGGAUGGAUCCUAUUUCUUUUUGAGGCGAUGCUAAGGGACCACCUUCGGAGGAUUGCAACAAAAACUUACAAAAACUUUCUUUUUCCAACACAAGCGCGUGGAAAUUGCCAAGUAAAACUCAGAGCUUUCUCCCUUUCAUGGAAAAUGUAUGGUUGAGGGUCCACCGUUUAUUAUCCAAAAACUUUCUUUCUCCAACAAGUGCGCGAAAGUUGCCAAGCAAAACACAGUUUUCUCCCUCCGAUGGAAAAUGUUUGGUUGAGGGUUCACCCUCUGUUUUCCAAGCUAACGGUAUUAUUAGCAAAUCAAUUUCCUCAUUUUGUCGUUUAUUGUAAAGGGUCCCUUCUUUUUGUACUCAUAAAUGGCCAAAGGUAAUUUAUUGUAAAGGGAAUUGAUUGGCCAGUUGUACUGUUAGUUUGGAAAACAGAUGGCGAACCCUCAGCCAUAUAUUUUUCAUAUGAGGGAGAUGCUAGCAUCACCCUUUUGUAAAAUAACACGGGGUGGAGUUCUGGAAAUGGGAAGUGAGCGUGGAAGACGACGAGAAUGUAAAAUAACACGGGGUGGAGUUCUGGAAAUGGGAAGUGAGCGUGGAAGACGACGAGAACGCAAGGAAGAGGAGACUGGGUUUGGUUCUAGUUAUGAUAGGGUUGGUGAUUUUCGGGCUUGGGAAUUGGCUUGAUGGACCCAGGCUUAGAGUGGGCUUGACGCUUCCCUUUAGUAAAAAUGGGCUUACGUUCUGGUAGGUUCCAAUGGGUCUAGUUGAUUUGGGCCUAAUCUGUUUCUAGUAAAUAGGGGCUUGGUUUAUUUCUGGAGGAAAUUGGGCUUUUGAAUUUCUACUGGAGAGAUAACUAGUAAGCCCUUUUGCCUGUGGUGGCCCGUGUCCAUGUGAAGCCCAUGCCUAAUCCCACACGAGGGUAAUAAUUUUAAAGAAAGGGGAAAAAUUCACAAAAGAAAAAAAAAAAUUCAGAAAAUGGCUAGGCAUAGAAUUCUUGAUUAUGUUGUUAAAUUUUAGUGAUAUAUUUAGCUUAGUUUUGGUUGAAUAACGUAACUCUUAAUUUUUUGAGUUUUAGUAGUUACUUUUGAGAUAGCUUUGACUUAGAUAGAUCAUUCUUUUAAGUAACAACUUCAACCCAAUUGAACUUUAACUCAUGGGGCUGCUAUCCUGGCCCUUAAUAACUGUGCUAUGUGAAUUUUGUAAUUGGUGCUUCAUUGAGUAUACUUUCGGACGCUUUAUCUUUAUUGCAUUGAUAAUGAUUGUCUACUUAUUUUCGAUUGCGCACUCAUGCAUGGAUAGCAUUUAGAGGCAUAGGUUAAUUAAAAAUGGUCAAAGAUUGCUUGACUUAUUUAGGUAACAAACCAAUCAAGUUAAAAGUACCAAAAGAGCAUUGGUUAGACAAUUAGUGUAAUUAAGUAUUGGUCUUAAAUCUCUAAUUGCAUAAGAAAUAAAGUAUACUCAUAUGCUUCACUUGACUUCUAGUUGACCUCAUAGACUAGUGGUGACUCAUAUUAUGGAUAGAUCAAUUUCAAUCGUAGUUUCCUAAUGUUGAGCAAGUUAAUAGUUUGGGAAAAUCCAUGCUUAUUGAAGAUUGUUGGUUCCAAACUUGACAUUACCUCCAAACCUAUCAUCUCCUUGACAUCAAUAGAUAAUGCUAGAAUUAUAAGCUUUUUUUUUUUUGGUUUGUUCUAGUAUUUUAGACUUACUUUGUAGAAUUGUUAAAAGGAAUCUUGUCAAGUGAUUGGAUAUUACUUGGCAAAUCAUUCUUAUUAGUAAGUUUUAAUAUCUCUAGCGAGUAGUACACUAUAUGCAAUUUGAGUAAUCAGACAAUGAUGUCUUCUAUUAAUAUAUUAAUAGUCACAUAAGCAAAAAUUAUUAACGUCUAAAAACUCAUGAGUACAAUAAACCAAUGAAAAUAAUUGUCGUGAGCCCUAACUUAUAUGGAAAAAGAUAAACAAGGGAAAUGCACAAAAUGAAAAUUGAGAUGUACUAUGAUAUCAUAUUAUAAAGGAAGCAUGCCAAAUACCCUCUCAUUUUUUCACCCAAUAAACCAAUGAAAUUAAUUGUUGUAAUCCCUAACUUAUAUGGAAAAAGAUAAACAAGGGAAAUGCGCAAAAUGAAAAUUGAGAUGUACUAUGAUAUCAUAUUAUAAAGGAAGCAUGCCAAAUACCCUCCUCAUUUUUUCACCUUUUUGCUCUAUUACAACUUUCUCUCCUUUAUUUUUUUUAAAGGGAUAAGUGCACUAAAAAUUUUAAAAAUUGUUAAAAGGUGCAAUUAAAUCCUUAAAAACUUAUCAAAUUGAUGCAAUCGAGUCAUUCUAUUAAGUCCUUCUUAUUGUUUUUAGUCAAAAGCUCUAUCCUACUUGGUUAAUGUAAAAUGUUUAUUGCUAUUUUCUCUCUCCUAUGUAACGUUGACGUUACUAAAACAUGAAACAUGAAGCUAAAAUGACAUUGUUUUUAUUUCAAACCAAAUUUGAGUUAAAUUAGAUUAAAAAUAAAAAUGCCAUUUUGUUUUAUGAAAUAUGAAAAAAGAACACAAAACACAUCGACCCUUGUCGCUAUCAUUCCACCAUUACUAAAAAUGGCUGGCAAUGGUGGGGCGAUGCUCGAUUGCUCAGGUCUCUAGCUAACAUCCACUAGUUCCUAGGUCUUUAGUCCUCACCUAAGGUUGAAAUUGUUGUAGGGCACCAUUCUUUUUUUUUUUUUUCUCUCUCUCUCCUUUUUUAUGUCCCUUUUUAAAAAAUGUAACCUUUUAUUUAAAAUUUGGGUAAAAAAUAAUUAGAUUUAGACCAAAACGAUAUCACUUUAGUAUUAUGUUUUUUGUUUAGUGAUGUCAGCAUCACAUAGUAUAGAGAAAAUAGUAAACAAGUCAUGUUAGUUUUUUUUUUCCCAUUACUCAAGCUGGAUAGAGUUAAUGACAAGACUUGAUUACAUUAAUUUAUAAAUCUUUGAACUUAAUUGCACUUUUGAAAAUUUUAAGACUCAAUUGCAUUUUGGUGAUAAAUUUUAAAAUUUCAAAUAUAUUUAUCCCUUUUUUAAAAUACUGUUCCGCUUCUUAUUAAACAAAUUAUCCAAAGAACCAAAUCAGUCUCCCAUACAAACAAUAUCAACCUAGAUCUAAUAUUACCAACCACAAACUCAUAACAUAUCUCCAAAGCCCAGUCUUUUGCACCCACCAACACUUGCACUCGUCAAUCAUGGCUACCUAUCACAAGCAUUGCAGUUGUGCUCUCUAGCACAAGCCCACCGUCUCUCUCGUCUCUGCCUCUAUCUCUCUCGCAAGGACCGUGAAAGGGCAUGGUGACCUCAUGCUGGAGGGUGGUGGAGGCCGUGGAGACAGAUGACGGUUGGAAGUUGUUGGGGGUGGACGGGAGUUGGUGAAAUCAGAAUUUGUGCUAAGGAAUAAGAAACGGUUCUGUAAGUCUAGUCUGUCAACCGAUAUGAGGUAUACGGUUAGGUAUCCAACGUAAAACUUAUGGUACAAACUCUUAUUUCGAUAUUAAAAACAAAGGAUGCAAAGCGUAUUCUCUAAGCUUUGUAGUCAUUACGCCGAAGUGGUCAAUUGCGCAAUGAAGUGAAACAUGUCAUUUUCCAACGUGCAUGGACACAUUAUGCUUUGACUAGGAAAAUAAAAAUCGCAAUUGUUCUUUUGGGCUUCCAUUUCUGCUGCAUCCACUUAAAUCGAAUUGCCUCUUUAGCUUAGCACUCGUAACUUAAAUUGGAUCACCAUCUCUUGACUCAUGUCAUCACCCAACACAAAAAAAUUAGGCACUAACAAUGCCUCAUUUGGUGUUACAGGAUCUCUCAUGUCCAAACCAUGUUCUUGCUUCUGAUCCUAGUCUCACUCUUCCUCGGUUCUCAGCAAGCUUAUUCCUCAACUUCCUCUUCAAGUCUUGAGCCUACAAGUUUCUUUUUCCCUUCUUUCAACCCUGGCUCUUGCACUAGUAAAGAGCUCAUUUGCAUGGGCUCGGUAAGCUCGCGAGAUGGGUAUUUGAACAUCACGCCAGAGCAAGGUAAUUCGAGCCUUGCUUUAAUGCCGACAAACCAGGUAGGGCGGGUUCUUUAUUCCCAACCAGUGGUUGCUUGGCCUGCCAUGAUCUCCACCACGUUCACCAUCAGGAUCACCCCAUCGCUGAAUUCCACAGUCUCUGGUGACGGGAUGGCUUUCCUUUUCGCACAGGACAAAAGCCCCUCACCACCAAAUAGUACUGGCUCAUACAUGGGGAUUCUUGAUCGGUCUACUCAAGGUACUUCCACCCAAUCUUUGGUUAGAUGAAUACCAAAUCUGUGGCACUUUGUUAUAGAGUGUUGAUCAAAAAAUGAUUUCUUUUCAACUAAAUAUUUAGGUGGUGUUGUUCGACAACUAGCCGUGGAGAUGGACACUUACAUGAACGAGUUUGAUAUUGACGGGAACCACGUAGGCAUAGACACGAUGAGCACUACUAACUCAGCCGUCAACCAGAGCCUAAAGAGCACAGGAGUGAACCUAAGAAGUGGAAGGGACAUCAUGGUUGAAAUUGAAUAUGAUGGCUAUAAAAAUGAAUUCCAAAUCUCAAUAGCAUAUUCUGGGAAUUCGCUAACAAGUGUUCUCAAUUAUUCGAUCAAAAUGUCGGAAACGGUCCCUAGGCUCGUGUACGUGGGCUUUUCGGGAGGCACUGGUCCUCUUCCCGAAAGCCACAAGGUGAUUAACUGGGCAUUCAGCUCUUUUCCUUUAUCUAUGGCGGAUAAGCGGCUCAAGAGAGACAACAGGAUCAAAACCAUACUGGUUCUGGUUGUGCCAAGCGUGAUGACGGUAUUGUUCAUCAUGAUAUAUGUCUACCUCAUUAAAAGAGCACCAAGGAAGAGAGACAAGAAGGACGUCGACAUAGAGAGCCAAUCAAGGGAGGCCGCGAACAUUCCAAAAAUGUUCACCUACAAGGAGCUAGCAAAGGCCACUCGCAACUUUAGCAAGGAGAACCUGCUUGGCACUGGUGGUUUUGGAAGUGUUUACAAAGGGGUCAUCUUAGAUCCUCCGGUUGAAAUAGCCGUGAAAAAGAUCUCCGCAACCUCGAAACAAGGUUUGUUUCUUUACUUGUAUCAUGUACAGGGUCUCGUAGAUAAGAUCUAAACAUCACAGAAACAUAGUGCUGGACCAAUUUUAUAAUUGGUGUGAAUAAAGUAGAAGAGAGAAAUUCCAUAUAUAUAUAUAUAUAUAUAUAUAUAUAAUGUAUCUAGAAAAAGAGUACGUGGAGCUUAUUUAUAGGCUUGAAUAGACGAUAUGUAUAAUUAUAAUAAUUAAAGAAAAUGUCCUAAAUAUCUCUAGAAAAUACCUAAAUAUCUCUAACACUCUCCCCUCAAACAAGAGCAUAGAUAUUAAUCAAAUCCGGCUUGUUACGAGUAUAUUCUAUCCUCCCACGAUCC